rnacentral:tRNA from 1 species
GGAGGUGUGGCUGAGAGGUUGAAAGCAUCACUUUCGAAAAGUGACAUACGGGAGACUGUAUCGUGAGUUCGAAUCUCACCACCUCCG